rnacentral:rRNA from 1 species
AUUGAACGCUGGCGGCAGGCUUAACACAUGCAAGUCGAGCGGUAACAGAGAGAAGCUUGCUUCUCUGCUGACGAGCGGCGGACGGGUGCGUAAUGCCUAGGACUCUGCCUAGUAGUGGGGGAUAACUUGCCGAAAGGUAAGCUAAUACCGCAUACGUCCUACGGGAGAACGGAGGGGACCUUCGGGCCUUUCGCAAGUAGCUGAGCCUAGGUAGGAUUAGUUAGUUGGUGAGGUAAUGGCUCACCAAGACCGCGAUCCGUAACUGGUCUGAGAGGAUGAUCAGUCACACUGGAACUGAGAAACGGUCCAGACUCCUACGGGAGGCAGCAGUAGGGAAUAUUGGACAAUGGGGGGACCCUGAUCCAGCCAUGCCGCGUGUGUGAAGAAGGUCUUAGGAUUGUAAAGCACUUUAAGUUGGGAGGAAGAGCAGUUAACUAAUAUUUGACUGUUUUGACGUUACCGACAGAAUAAGCACCGGCUAACUUCGUGCCAGCAGCCGCCGUAA